GAUUAUGGCUCAGGAUGAACGCUAGCGACAGGCUUAACACAUGCAAGUCGAGGGGCAGCACGGGAGUAGCAAUACUUGGUGGCGACCGGCGCACGGGUGAGUAACGCGUAUGCAACCUACCUAUCAGAGGGGAAUAACCCGGCGAAAGUCGGACUAAUACCGCAUAAAACAGGGGCACCGCAUGGUGAUAUUUGUUAAAGAAAUUCGCUGAUAGAUGGGCAUGCGUUCCAUUAGGUAGUUGGUGAGGUAACGGCUCACCAAGCCGACGAUGGAUAGGGGAACUGAGAGGUUGGUCCCCCACACUGGUACUGAGACACGGACCAGACUCCUACGGGAGGCAGCAGUGAGGAAUAUUGGUCAAUGGGCGGGAGCCUGAACCAGCCAAGUCGCGUGAAGGAAGAAGGAUCUAUGGUUCGUAAACUUCUUUUGCAGGGGAAUAAAGUGCAGGACGUGUCCUGUUUUGUAUGUACCCUGAGAAUAAGGAUCGGCUAACUCCGUGCCAGCCGCAGC
rnacentral:rRNA from 1 species